UGGGCCAGGGAUGAUGACUGGUGGUGGAAAGUCAUGACUGAUGAAAACAUGUGUUUGAAACUCUGAGUCUCGU